UACGUAGGGAGCUAGCGUUGUCCGGAAUCAUUGGGCGUAAAGCGCGUGUAGGCGGUUCGGUAAGUCCGCUGUGAAAGUCGGGGGCUCAACCCUCGAAUGCCGGUGGAUACUGUCGGGCUAGAGUACGGAAGAGGCGAGUGGAAUUCCUGGUGUAGCGGUGAAAUGCGCAGAUAUCAGGAGGAACACCAAUUGCGAAGGCAGCUCGCUGGGACGUUACUGACGCUGAGACGCGAAAGCGUGGGGAGCAAACAGG
rnacentral:rRNA from 1 species